GCAUGACCCAUUGGGGACCCUCCCUUUUCCAUUUUUCUUAAUUAAUUCCCUUGUUAUCCAGAGACUGAAAGGCAUUCUUGAGAUCAAGAAAGGUCUAACAUUAUUUGAACAUACUGCCAAGAAGACAGUUCAUGAAAAGCUGGAUUUCAAAUGUAUAGAUAACGACAUCACUAUCUUGGCUGAUGGGCUCUUCUCUGUCCUGUGGUGGGACCAUUUCGGGACCAGAUGGAAGGCAACCUGACUACCACAGAAGAUACCUCACAGUUAUCCCAUCCAUCAGGAGAAUAUCAAGACUAGAAGACACACUACAACAGAUUGUUAACUCAAAGCUGAAUUUUUCUAUUACUGGAUUCAAGACAAGAGUCCCCUUUUGCAGAAGCUGCUGGUGGGAAAACCGAAGCCAACUCCAGAGCAACCGAGGGACAGACGAGGGGACCGAGAACCACUCAUCAAGAGGAGCACCACACCUGCAAUGCCGAUACUUCUGAUACUGCUGAUGUUUAUGGUGUCACCGCGAUGUGAGUCCGGGACCUGAGUGUAACGAUGAUGUUAAGUUGUGGAGUGUCACAGCACAUAUCUUCGCGUCGAUUUUUGCGCCAGGAGUCUCAGCAGCGGCGGCUUUGACCCAAAUAGAAAGAUUGGCAUGUUGGUCUGCAAAACAGGCCAAUACAACCACGCUUGUGUUAAAUGCUAUGCUUGAAGAUCUUAAUAGUGUCCGCCAUGCACUGCUACAGAAUAGAGCAGCUAUUGACUUCUUGCUGUUGGCUCAAGGACAUGGGUGUGAGGAUGUCGAAGGAAUGUGCUGCUUUAACCUCAGUGGUCACAGGAUGUCGAUUCAUAAACAACUACGAUGGAUGCAAGAACAUACACAGAAGAUUAAAGAAGAGAGUGAUCCCUUUGGGAAUUGGCUGAACAGACUGUUUAGGGGAGUGGGUUCAUGGUUAAAGCAAUUGCUUAAGGUUUUUGUGAUAGGGCUUGCAAUCUUUGUAUGUAUUCUGAUCUGUCUUCCAUGCUUUGUAGGAUGCUUGCAGAACUCCUUGCAAUGAAUGAUGGAAAAGACUUUUGACCAUCGGAUUGAGUAUCACAGACUGUGUGAAAGGUUGUAGAAGGGUGUAGGUUGUUGCGUUCGUGCUGCAACGGGGCAAGGCUUGGCCGAGCGCGGGGAGUCAGGUUAUGAGGGCAAAGGACUCCCUGUUGCUCUGAUGUUUUCUUAAAGGAUUGCAGUAAAAGAGUAGUAGAAAUAGUUUGCUGAAAUGUAUUUAGGAUUAGAUGCUUUGCAUUGCUUCGCGAUGUACGGGUUAGACGUAUGUAAGUAGUAUUUAGCUUAGGGAGGGGGAGAUGUUGUAGUAGGCGUUUUGCGGGGUUACGGGAUGUACAGGACAGGCUUCUCCCUAAGCAUAGUGAGACGGUGCUAUUGUGCUCUAACAGACUGACCUUGCUGCCGAGAAAACAAGAAAGAGGAAGGAUGUGAAGGAAUGAGGAAGCAACUAAAUAAGGCACGAUGUUAUCCAGUGCGAACCAAUCAGGGCAGAACAUGACGGCACAGUUGCUUAAGUUAAAAUAUAUAAGCUGUGCAUAGUAGUGAAUAAAUACCAUUUUACUGCUCAUCAUAUUGGUGUACGUUUGCAGUCAUUUGGCCCUGACCAGGUAGUUGGCCAGUACGUGCUAGGGCUAACACAGGAUGCUAACAUCACAGUUGCUGAAGGCAACACCUGUGUACCUCAGGCAUUAAUGUAGGUUGCACUUUGAGGCCAGACCUUAAGAAAUAAUAUUUUGCAACAUCUAGAGGUGCGGUGCUCCCAGUCCCUCAUCCAGAAAGCAAAAGUGGUUAAUAUCCAUUCAAGCCUGUUUAGUUCCUUUCUUUUGAAGCAUAUUUUUAAUAUAAUGAAGCUUCUCAUUCUGCAGAGCAGGUAGGGAGUGAUUCAAUAUAUAAAUUCUUUUGAG
ensembl:lncRNA